rnacentral:lncRNA from 1 species
UUAGAAAAACCUUAAUUAAACUAAUCAUAAAUAAAUAAACUAAUCAAUGUUCAAACUUUGAACAUGCUUUAUUAAACUAAUCAAUGUUAAAACUUUGAACAUGCUUUAAUGAACUAAUCAAUAUAUUUAUACGAAAUUAAAUGUUAUAAAAGUUUUAAAACUUGAAUUAUACAUAUACCAACAAUUAAUUUUAGGUCAAUUAUACAUACACCAACAAUUAAUUUUAGGUCAAUUAUACAUGCUUUAUAAUUUCUUUAUUGUUUGGGUGAUUGAUAAAGAAAUGAAAUUAAAGUUGCAACGAUAUCAUUUAGUAGAUACUUUUUUGCUUCGUGUGUUCUAAAUUUGUAUUGUUUAUUUUUAUUUGAUAAUGUGUAAUUGCAACUUCAAUUCAUUGAUAGUGUAUUCAAAUUUUAAUAUGUUGCAGUUAUGGCUCGUCUGCCUUUAAUUGCACAAAGUGUGAGGCGUAAAAGAAUUGGUAUUGCUGUGACAAUAUGGUUGGAAAUCUGUAGAAUUGCGAUUUGGUUCUUAUUUAGAAUGGGUGCCAGCCUUAGCCUACAUAGACCAAUGAUUAGGUCCUAUACCUUAGAUUUUUAUGCAAAACGGGAUUAUGUGAAAAGGCUUGUAUAUGCUAGUGACGAGACCUGUAUUGAACAAGUUAGGAUGAAUAAAACUGCCUUUUUUAAACUAUGUGAGAUGUUAGAAUCGAUAGGGGGAUUGAAGUCGUCAAGGUUCAUGCUUGUUGAUGAGCAAGUAGCAAUGUUUUUACAUAUCAUCUCCCAUCACCCAAAAAAUCGAGUUAUCAAGCAUCACUUUAGAAGGUCCGGGGAAACUGUUAGCAGAGCAUUUCAUAGUGUUUUAAAUGCUGUCAUACGCUUAGAAAAUGUCUUAUUUAAAAAGUCGGAGCCAAUUACAGCCGAUUCUUCUGACACAAGGUGGAAAUGGUUUAAGGUAUUAGACUGAGUUUUAUAUAUAGCUUGUACAACAUUUAGUUGACUUAGAUUUAAAUUAGUAUUCUAACUCAAGGUUUAUAUCAUGUGAUAUAGAAUUGCUUAGGUGCUCUUGAUGGAACCCAUAUCAAGAUUAGGGUGCCAACAGUUGAUAAACCUAGAUAUCGAACCCGAAAAGGUGACAUAGCAACAAAUAUGCUAGGUGUUUGUACACCUAAGAUGCAAUUUGUUUAUGUUCUUCCUGGUUGGGAAGGUUUAGUUGCCGAUGGACGGGUGCUUCGAGAUGCCAUUAGUAGAAGACAUGGACUAAAAGUUCCUCAUGGUAAAGUGUAUAGUUAGAGGAAUUUGAAUUAUUCAUUAAGAUCAAACUUUGUGCGCUGAAUUAAUCAUUUAUUAAAGAAUUUAUUUUAUAGGUUGUUAUUAUCUAGUUGAUGCUGGUUACACAAAUUGUGAGGGAUUUCUUGCACCAUUUAGAGGACAGCGAUAUCAUCUGAACGAGUGGCGUCAGGGUUAUCAGCCAAGUUCUCCGUAAGAUUUUUUUAAUAUGAAACAUGCCUCAGCACGUAAUGUCAUUGAAAGAUGCUUUGGCUUAUUAAAACUUAGAUGGGGAAUACUUAGGAGUCCAUCGUUUUAUCCUGUAAGGGUGCACAAUAGAAUUAUUAUUGCAUGUUGUUUGCUCCAUAAUUUUAUUCGAACCCAUAUGAUUAUUGAUCCCAUUGAAGCGGAGGUGGGAGAAGGAUUACCUACUAAUGUGGUGGAUGACGAUGAACCGAAUAUCACAAAUAUUCAUCCAUCGGAUGCUUGGGCUACUUGGAGGAUGAAACUAGCCAACCAAAUGUUCGAUGAAUGGCAAGCAUGUAACACCCUAACCUGUAUUCGUCACCAGAUUAGGGUUACGAGGCAUUACCGAACAAGACACAGUUCAGCACAAUCAUUUAUCUCCUUUCAUACACCAAAGAAUAACGAUACAUUUAUAACAUUAUCAAACUUGAAUAUCCUCAAUUUACUUAUUUUAAAUUCAAAUAUAUAAAAUGAUAAUUACAAUUCAAAUCAAUCAUACCUUACUAAGCAUGUAUCACAAAUAAACACAUUUCAAAAUUCAAACUAAUUCAAUUUAAACAUAUAUCAAAGCUCAAUCGAACAUAUUCUAUAAUUAACAAAUUUGAACCAAACUUGUAUACAUCAGAGUCAUGUUAAAUUAUAUAAUACUUUCAAUAUUCGAUUUCCCUAAAUCCAUCAUAUUAAUGACAUUUUCAUAAUUAAAUCAUAUUCAAGCAUAUAUCUUCACUUUUCAUAUAUAUAAAAUAUGUCCGUACAUAAUUUCACUAUCUAAAUAUCAAACAUUGCAUUUCAUAACUUCUGUAUAUGUACAUAAUGAAACCAAUAUGUAUACAACUUAAUAUCCAAUCACAUUUACAACAUUAGUAACAUUAUAUUAUGGCCAUAUAUACCUUUGAUGUCAUUAUAUUAUACACAUAUGACCAUUUCAAUGAAAUCAUUCAAUCAUAAACUAUAUACACUCAAUACAAAUCAACUUAUCCUUUAAUCGACUAAUCCAAUAAAUUUAUAAAAGCUAAAUUCAAACUUGUAUUACUCACUUAACUAUCAUUACCCGAAUUUGUAUGUCUUAUUCAUAAAUUUUAAACCUACCUUAAAAUCAUAUAUAUAUAUCAUUUAAAAGACCAAAAACAUGCAUAUUUAUCUAUUACAAGUUUGCGCAUAUGAAUACACCAUUUUAGCCAUAUCAAAAAAAAAUCCAUACAAUUCAUAUCAUUUUACAAAUAUAAAAUCGAAUAUUAAGUCCACUUGCAUGAGCAAAUCGCACCUUUAUUAAAUACUCCACAUUUCUAAUUUAUUUCAUAACAAAUUGACAUCCAUAAAUAACCUCAUAAAUUGUACAAGAUUUAGCCAUUAAAUCAUAAGUCAAAAUAUUCCAUUUCCGAGUUCACUUAAUUACUAAAUUACAUAACAAUACCUUAACAAAGCAUAUCAAACAAGAUUCACAUAUAUUUACUUAUAAAUAAACCAUAGCCGAAACACUACGACUAAAACCAAACAUAUCACUCAUAUCAUAUAUAUAUAACACAUAACCAAGAUUAAUUAAGCUUGAAUAUCAUUUACCUCAUUACCGAAGCACAUGACUAAAACACCAUAAUAUAUACAUAUACACCAUGGCCAAUUCAGAGAUUAACAUAUUAUACCAAACUCACUUCACUUAUAUGCUUUAACUAAGCUCAGCUAUGCCGAAUUAUUUACCACCUUCUUAACAAAACAUAUCAAACAUAAUUCACAUAAAUAAAUAUGCCAUAGCUGAAAUACCAAAAUCAACAUAUCUAUCACUUGAUCAAAAGUAUAAAAACCAUCCUUAACAAAAAAAAUAAGCCUUUUUUUUUGCAUGGCUCAUAUUUACAUACCCAAAAAUCAAACAUAUUAACUAGACUAUACAUGCCAUAAGUUUAAAUUCAGACUUAGUAAAAUACCGAAAACAGUCGAUAGUGUGAUAGACUUCUCUGACGAUUCCCGUGCUCUUAACCAACUUCCAAAUCUAUAAAAUUGAAAGCGAUUACACACAGUAAGCUAUUAAAGCUUAGUAAGCCAUAAGCAAAUGAACAUUUAAUCAUUUACAUAAAUUAAGCUAGACAAUUAGUAAUAAAUCAUUAUAAUUUCACAUAUAAUUCAAUUUAUCAACUUAUAUAUCAAAACUUAUAUAAUUUGUAAUAACUUCCCUCUUUACCGAAUAAUCAAUUGAACAUUAAUAUAAUCAAUCAUCACUUUCCUCAAUGCACAUAUACAUCAAAGGCUGAAUACAUAUAUAUUCAAAUAUGCAAUCACAUAAUUCAUAUUUCACAUAACUUCAUAUCAUCAAUUCAAGUAUACAACUUACCUUAUUUUCAAAUAGGUAAUCAACUAUCACAUACCUGGUCACUUAGCCUGAUUUAUACAUUCGUACACAACUUAUCUUUGCCCGUUGAACCAUUCAGAAUUAAAAAGGAUACUCGGAUAGUCGAAAGACUCGUACAAUGCCAAUGUCCCAGACGUGGUCUUAUAUGUAAUCACAUAUUGAUGCCACUGUCCCAGACAGGGUCUUACACGAAUCAAAUACGAUGCCAAUGUCCCAAACAUGGUCUUACACGUAAACACAAGUCGAUGCCAACGUCCCAGACGUAGUCUUACACGAUAACAUAUAUCGAAAAUCCUAUGUCAUGACAUAUGUAUCCUAUCUAUUCCUAAGGUUCGUACGGCUUUCGGACAACGUAUCUCGAUCGAAUCAAACAUGAAAUAAAACUUCUUGGCUUAUCACAAAUUCGGCCAAUACACAUAUAUAUCCAAAAAAUUCAAUUCAAAAAAUAACAUUUAUAUAUUUUCAAAUUCAACAAUAUUUAUAUGCUAAUAGACUUACCUCGGAUGUCAUCGACUAUUAAAUCGGCUACUCGACCACUUUUGUCUUUCCCCGAUCCAAAUCUGAUUUCUUUAAUUCUUGAUCUAAGCAUAUUCAAAUUAAGUUCAUUUAAACAUCAUUCUGUUCAAUUUAGCCUAAAAACACAUAAAUGGGCAAAUUACAAUUUUUCCCCUAACAUUUCACACUUUUUACAAUUUAGUCCUUUUUGCUCAAAACACAAAAUACACAAAAUUUGACUACACUCCUUAAGGGACAAAUAUUCCUAGUGUCCAUACAAGCCCACAUAUUUCAUUUAUUUCACAUUUUAGUCCCUCAAAAAUUUAUUUUUACAAUUUAACCCUAAUUACUCAAAUUCAUCAAAAAUUCAGAGACAAAACAUGUUAAUCUUUCACAUAUCUUUCAUAUUCCAUCAUCAACUAUCACAAAGCUCAAGUAUUCAUCAAUGACAUUUCUCAAAAUCAUCAACAAUUCACAAAAUUAAGAUAUGGGUUUUGAAGUAUUUAAAGCAACGAUCUCAAAAACGUAAAAAUUAUCAAAAACCGAACAAAAACCAACCUUGAAUUAAGCUUCAAAAUGACCGAAUGUUUCAAGCUUUCAAACCUUGUUUUUCUUUUCUACAUUCGGUGAAGAAAGAUGAAAAUAAAAUGGUGGCUUUUAAUGUUUUGUUUUAUUAUAACAUAUUUUAUUAUUUUAUUAUUUUAACUUUUAUUUAUAUAUAUAUAAAUCCCAUAUCAUCAUUAUGCCAUCCACUAACUAUUAUUAUUGGCUAAAUUACAACAUAAGGCCUCCAACUUAUAAAGACAACAACAAUUAGGCACUUUCUUAAUUAACCAUCAAAUUUUCAUUUUACGCGAUUAAGUCAUUUUUUUCAAAUUAAGCACACAAACAAUAAAAUUAAUUCACGAAACUUUCACAUAUGUAAAUUCCCACAUAAUUAACACAGAAAAUAAUAUUAAAAUAUUUUUUUAGACUCAAAUUUGUGGUUCCAAAAUCACUGUUCCGAUGAGGGUCAAAAUCGGGCUGUUACAAAGCAUCUAGAAAUUAGUUAGGUUUAGGGACAAAUUGAGUUAAAAUUAAUUUGUUGAUGUUAUUUUAUGUAUCUAGUUCAUGAAACUUUGGUGGUGUUUGAUUAAAAUUCUGUAUUGUACUAAACAUUGUUGAAUUAUAAUUUAAUUAUCUUUUCAUUCAGCAUGUGUUAUCUCAUUAAAAUUAGUAUUGAGCUUUUGAUUCAUGAUAUUGAACUAACGAUAUAAUAUUAUAAAUUGUUCACCUUUUGAUUCAUGAUAUUAAAAACAGUAAAUAAUGUUAAUUUAUUUUUUUCUUAAGAUAAUUAUGUCAGGUGUUCCACAAUCACAUGCUUCUUCUCAAGCUUCUCGAGGAAGCAAAAGAAAAUGGAUUCCAGAAGAAGAUGCAGCCUUGGUUUCUUGCAUGGUGGAUUUGCACAAUGUAGGAACAUUUAAUGCUGAUACCGGGUUCAAGGCCGAUUAUUUGAACGAGCUAGAAAAAAAUCCUAGAAAAGGCUUUACCAAGAGCAAUGUUGAAGGCGAAGCCAAAUAUUGAAUCUCAGAUUAGGUGCCUCAAAAGGGAAUGG